rnacentral:rRNA from 1 species
UACGGGGGGAGCAAGCGUUGUUCGGAUUUACUGGGCGUAAAGGGCGCGUAGGCGGCCACCGCAAGUCGGUUGUGAAAUCUCUGGGCUUAACCCAGAAAGGUCAACCGAUACUGCGGGGCUAGAGUGCAGAAGGGGCAACUGGAAUUCUCGGUGUAGCGGUGAAAUGCGUAGAUAUCGAGAGGAACACCUGCGGCGAAGGCGGGUUGCUAGGCUGACACUGACGCUGACAGCGCGAAAGCUAGGGUAGCAAACGGG